rnacentral:lncRNA from 10 species
CCUCAUUAAACUGGCACCGUCUGCCUUCCUACUCUCCUUUGUCCCAGUUGGGGCUGUUCUUUGUGACAGAUGUUUCCUAACGGUGUGUGCCGGUAGCAUCUGGAAGCCUUAGGUGACUGCUGAGGUUUGGGAAGGCCAAAUCUGGAGCUCUGGUCCAUCAGUGUCUAUAUGCGAGGAAAGAGAAGGCAUUGGCAGGGGAUGACCUGGGCAUAAGGUUGUCUUUCAGGAGGUGUAGCCUGAUUGUGGCCCAGGGAGUUUGGCUGUUCUGUGUGGUACACAUCCACUAUGUGGUCUCCAGUGAGCUGCUCAGCAGGUGUAGACCUGGGCAGGGCAAAGUUCUCUGGGCUGUUGACUGUGAGGCCCCUCCCCACCAGUAGAUUUCCAGGCCUCUUCAGUUUUGCAUUCAGCCAC